rnacentral:pre_miRNA from 1 species
UUAACUCAAAUUUGUAAGCAGUUGGAACAGCGCCCCUAGCGGCCAACGUAGGCAAACCUUCUAACUCCAUACAAAUUUAAGUUA